rnacentral:misc_RNA from 1 species
UGGUGCAGAUGCUGCUGG